ensembl:rRNA 5S_rRNA 5S ribosomal RNA
GCUUACGGCCAUACCAGCCUGAAUACGCCCGAUCUCGUCUGAUCUCGGAAGCUAAGCAGGGUCGGGCCUGGUUAGUACUUGGAUGGGAGACCGCCUGGGUAUACCUUGCGCUGUAAGCA